rnacentral:tRNA from 1 species
GGGGUUGUAGCUCAGUGGUAGAGUGCUUGUCUUGCAUAUGCAGGCCCUGGGUUCUAUCCUCAGCACCCCA